rnacentral:rRNA from 1 species
UACAGAGGUCUCAAGCGUUUGUUCGGAUUCAUUGGGCGUAAAGGGUGUGUAGGUGGCGCGCUUAGUCGGGUGUGAAAUUUCGGAGCUUAACUCCGAAACUGCAUUCGAUACUGGCGUGCUUGAGGACUGGAGAGGAGACUGGAAUUCAUGGUGUAGCAGUGAAAUGCGUAGAGAUCAUGAGGAAGACCAGUGGCGAAGGCGGGUCUCUGGACAGUUCCUGACACUGAGACACGAAGGCCAGGGGAGCAAACGGG